CCCGGUUUGGUCAAAUAAAAAAAAUCAUAAUCGCAUUACAUUAUAAUUGAUUAUUUAACUUCAGCGUUCAAAAGGAGUUUUGUGGGUCGUUGGAAAACAAGUUCGUUCACCGUCAACGGCUUAUUAUUUAUAUGAGUCUCAGAUUCAAAUAAAUAAUAAGCAAAAACUUGAAUUCCUACUCUUUAUAGAACACAAAUAUUUUUAUUUACUUUGCAUUCCGAAUUUUUUUUAACAGCAUAUUGAGAUUAAAGCUGUCUAAAUAUGCGUUUUCUAUAUGAG
rnacentral:lncRNA from 1 species